UCCUUAGCAAAUGUAUUGCGGUUUUCAAAAGUCAGUUUCACGCUGGGCAUGAUUUUCUCAUAUAAAAAACAGAGGAUUGAGAUCUAACUUCCACCUGGGAAAGGGCAGGUUAGAGAAAGUGAUAAGGAUAAAUAAUUUUAAGAAGAAAAAAAUUAUACAUGUUCAAAAAACCAAGAAAAUAAAAAGCAUGGUCCUGGUUGAUUCCAAGGGUGAAAAAUAGAGUAGGAAGUCCAAAAAAAGGCCUCAAAUUUAAUCUCCUUUUUUUUUUUUCGGA
rnacentral:lncRNA from 1 species